rnacentral:siRNA from 1 species
CCAAGGUCUAUUACGCUUCAUGC